rnacentral:lncRNA from 10 species
AUACUCUAAGAAUCACUGCCCUAGAGUGCAAUAUGAGUUUUGUUUUAGAAACUGGUGUGCUUUUUUUUUUUAAUCUUUAAUUUGCCCAUUCCAGUUAAAUUCUUCCUCAGUUUCACAUUAGGUUAGCAAAGAACUUUCUAGUACUUUAGUAAGGUUUGUAUGAAAGAAAGAAGACAAAACUGUUUAAAUUGUAGGGUUGCU